UACCAGCACCCCGAGUGGUCGGGACGUUUAUUGGGCCUAAAGCAUCCGUAGCCGGUUCUACAAGUCUUCCGUUAAAUCCAACUGCUUAACAGGUGGGCUGCGGAAGAUACUAUAGAGCUAGGAGGCGGGAGAGGCAAGCGGUACUCGAUGGGUAGGGGUAAAAUCCGUUGAUCCAUUGAAGACCACCAGUGGCGAAGGCGGCUUGCCAGAACGCGCUCGACGGUGAGGGACGAAAGCUAGGGGAGCAAACAGG
rnacentral:rRNA from 1 species